rnacentral:rRNA from 1 species
CUGGCUCAGGAUGAACGCUAGCUACAGGCUUAACACAUGCAAGUCGCGGGGCAGCAUAUAGAUAGCUUGCUAUUAUGAUGGCGACCGGCGCACGGGUGAGUAACGCGUAUCCAACCUUCCCCAUAGUAGGGUAUAGCCCGGCGAAAGUCGGAUUAAUCCCCUAUGUUGUUUGAAGCGGACAUCUAAUUCAAACCAAAGAUUCAUCGCUAUGGGAUGGGGAUGCGUCUGAUUAGGUUGCAGGCGGGGUAACGGCCCACCUGGCCGACGAUCAGUAGGGGUUCUGAGAGGAAGGUCCCCCACACUGGUACUGAGACACGGACCAGACCCCUACGGGAGGCAGCAGUGAGGAAUAUUGGUCAAUGGGCGCGAGCCUGAACCAGCCAAGUAGCGUGCAAGGAUGACGGCCCUACGGGUUGUAAACUGCUUUUAUGCGGGGAUAAAGUGCGGCACGUGUGCCGUUUUGCAGGUACCGCAUGAAUAAGGACCGGCUAAUUCCGUGCCAGCAGCUGC